rnacentral:lncRNA from 1 species
CUGCAAUUUGUUCUCUGCGCAGAACGCGUCAUUUGGAUGCGCAGUCGAAACUCCGAUUUAACUGACAUAACAGUCCUUCCACUUGGGUUAGCUGUGGACAGGAAACCGUUGAGAUUAUAUUAUAAUUUCAAAUCUGUCACAUUCUUUACAAAUCAAAUUGUUAGGUGAAUAAAUUACUUACACUAUCCAGCAAACAUCCUCCUUUUCUACAUCUCUUCUAAUGAGUUAAAAACCAUUUUGAACACUACAUAAUGAAGUCUCUUGAUAAGACAGAAUGAUGCGACCUCAUUAGUUAUUCACUGUCAAAUUUAAUUAAGAAGGAAAAGAGGUCACUGAUGACCAAUUCCUAC